AUGAAUAGUUCUUCCCUGUCACCUGAAAGGAGAAGUGCUGAUCUGCAUUCUUCUGUGAUUCUAUGAGUCACAAAACCACGGAACCAGUGUGGGUGUGCCUAGAGAGCUACCACCUCUGUCUCAUCUCCGUUUGCACCUACUUCUGAAGUAUGAAGUUAGGGUAUGAAAGCCGGUACUCCUGAUAAAAGCAAGAGGCAUUUUACAGAUCUGAGUUGGCCUCUGGGUUGUACUAUGGGUAAAUAAUUAGUACAUCUCUCCAGUGACCUGUGUUCCAAAGCUUCAGUCACCAGAGACAAUAAAUAAAGAGUAGUUCUGUCCUACCAAGGAGAAGCCUGGAGAGAGUAGCAUCCAAGACCCAGGGCACUUCUGCCAGCACCAUGGACAGCGUUACUGGGCUUGCCUGCUGCCUUAUGCUGCCCUCCUGGAAUGUCUGAGCUGACUGCUUCUUUGUAAAGAUGUCCAGGUGAAUGAAAGGAGCCAUAACAUAACAAAGGAGCCAGAAGAGAAGCCACUGAAGAGUAAAGACUGGCAUGUCUGAAUCACAGCAUUUCCAAGAAGCUCUGAUUGAAGCGAGGGAAGCCUCUGGAGUAAAGAAGAAAAGGUCAAGUGUGUGCAGGUGGUUCUGAAUGAGGACACUAACUGUUACAUGGCCCCAUAAUACUCACCAGUAGGGAAGACAUGGAAUGGUCUCAUGGCAGCAGCAUCUCCUGCUAUACUCUACCCUCAGUCUCCUGUAAAGAACCUGUGUUCCUGGGAACUGGGGUUUGGUAAUGGCACUAGAUGUGCUGAAAGGCCUAGCCAAAGGCAAGUGUGCUUCUGUGGGAGAAGGUUCGCACCUCAGCCGAGGAAGAUAAAAAGGAGUCCUCAGGGAAGAGGAAUUCCAUGUUGCCCAACAUGGUUUAUUUUCCUAAUUAAGAAUCAGUCAUGUUGGUACCAUGUGCUCAAUAUGAUUUUCUUUUUCUUUUAGGACAAUUGAUUCAAGAAGAGCAUUUUCUUCUCUUUUUCUCAGUAAUUAACUAGACUGUAUCAUGAUCAAGCCACUUAACCUCUAGGAAUCUCUGUUUCUCCCUGUUAAAUGAGAGGGGCGGAAUUUGAUGGCAUAUAGGUCUCUUCCAAACCAUAAAAUCGCGAUUUUCUGCUGAA